rnacentral:lncRNA from 1 species
UUUGAUAUGUGAAUUAAGUGACACAAGGAUGGAAAAACAGAUGAAGCAUAAUUAUUCCAGGGACAGCAUUCUUACAACAUAUUCAAGCCGUUUGGGCAGCUUAGCCCUUGAGUUCUGUCAUUUUUGUGGAUACUGCUUUAGUCUUUCUACAGAUUUGUGACCGAUUUUUUGACUAGCAGCAAAGGAAAUGCCUAAACAUGACUAAGCUAGCAAGCAUUACUGGGUCAUCCAAACUCAACCAAGAAAGGAG